GGGUCAGUAGGUUGGUCGUGCCACCGGUACGUACUGGUCUCACUGAUUCCUCCUUCCUGAAGUACCGUAAUGCCAUUAAUUUGGUGUUGCGGGGAAACAGGACUGUUACUUUGAAAAAAUUAGAGUGUUUAAAGCAAGCUAACGCUUGAAUACAUUAGCAUGGAAUAACGAAAUAGGACGAUCGAUCCUAUUUUGUUGGUUUCUAGGAUUGACGUA
rnacentral:rRNA from 1 species